rnacentral:rRNA from 1 species
CCAGACUCCUACGGGAGGCAGCAGUGGGGGAUAUUGCACAAUGGGGGAAACCCUGAUGCAGCGACGCCGCGUGGGUGAAGAAGCGCCUCGGCGCGUAAAGCCCUGUCAGCAGGGAAGAAAAUGACGGUACCUGAAGAAGAAGCCCCGGCUAACUACGUGCCAGCAGCCGCGGUAAUACGGAGGAUGCGAGCGUUAUCCGGAUUUAUUGGGUUUAAAGGUCGCGUAGGCGGGCAGUCAAGUCAGCGGUAAAAAGGCGGGGCUCAACGCCGUACAGCCGUUGAAACUGGCAGUCUUGAGUGGGCGAGAAGUAGGCGGAAUGCGUGGUGUAGCGGUGAAAUGCAUAGAUAUCACGCAGAACUCCGAUUGCGAAGGCAGCAUACCGGCGCCCUACUGACGCUGAGGCACGAAAGCGUGGGUAUCGAACAGGAUUAGAUACCCCGGUAGG